ACACUCACACACUGAAAUGCGAGUGCCUGCUGUGACGACCUAUUCCCCCCCCCAGUUGCAAAUGCCGUCUGGAGACUGAAGAAAGAGGAGCGUUUGCGUCCCUAUCAGUUUUGUGUCUGCUGUCCUGACCUCAGUCAACCGACGUCACAGGACAUCCGCAGUUUCAAGCAUCAACGGCAGCAAUAUCAACGCUGGGACGUUGGGGAGAGGAACAGAGAAACGGGAGAGAUGGAUGAUAUCACAUAGCUGAUACAGUAUUGAGGCGCUCGGCAGAGAACUUAUUUUUAUUGCUGCGGCUCUGAAGACUCUCCUUCUCCACCGGCAGACUCCAGAUGAGGUGUGUUCCGGUCAUCGCUGUCCUCAGCAACAAACGGCCUCGUCUAGCAUGCAAACCGCCGCAGGUCACCAUAGAUUUAAUCUGUUGAACACCGCAUCAGUUAUGUGACCUGGGAUUGUCUCAUCCAGAUGGAAAAUGCUCAGCUCAGAUAACCCUGGGAAUUACUCCGCCAGCAAUCUACACACCAUCUCCAAGAUACUACCGCAGCUACUCACGGAACAAUACCGAUCCAGCUGCGUGUGUCUUAUCUGCUGCUCAGAGAUAAAGAAUAGGACACAUGGAGGUAUUAACACCAGGGCUGGUUAUGAGAUAUUAAGCGACACUUACAUGAGAGACCUGUUCUUACACUCGGUUUACUCCAAUGACCCAGUUUUUUCUGCAUGGUCUGAUCUGCUCAUCAAAGUGUCUCUCUUGCGUUGUGUUAACGUUAAUAUCGCAGCACACUUUUUGGCUCCAACUAGCCGUGUUUUGCAGGGUACAGCAUACAGGUGCUUGGCUUUAACUCUUCCUGCUGGUUUGGAAAGCCCACAGGAGACACCAUUGGUUUGGUCUCUGGGAUGUGAACCGAUAGCGCUCACAAGUCCACGUCCCUCCUCUAUUCUGAGCAGAAACCCCGGGAAGACAACCCCCUUUUUCCCUUUUCUGAUGCCUAGUCGUACUUCUGUGGGUAUGUUAGUCAAAGUAAUGGAAAAGUUGGGUGGGCAGUUAUGCAUUACUCUACACAAACGAU